AAGUAUCAUAAAACCUAAAAGAAAGCUUUUGUAAUAUCGUUAGAGGAGAAACAAAAAAUGAAGGCAUCAACCACGACUGUAGUUUUGUUGCUCCUCCUCUUCGUUUCUACUCUUUGUACUUUGAAUAAUGUGAGUGCUAGGUCUUUGGAUUGCACGAGUAGCAAGAUUGCGUAAACCAGUGCGGUUCUCCUGGUUGCCCACCUCCUUCUACAUGCGCUUGUGUCUCCGGAAAAUGUGAUUGCGCCAAUGUAGAGAAUUUUAUAGAAUCCGUGUUUGGAUCAUUGAAUGAUCAUAAUUAAAGGACAUAUCAAAAUUAGUAUAAGUUAUAAUUGAAUUAUUUUCUAUAAUGUCACGAUAAGAAUAAGUGGUUAUAAUAAUAAACAAUAUAUAUUCUCUUCUC